rnacentral:rRNA from 1 species
UACGAGGGGGCGAGCGUUGUUCGGAAUUAUUGGGCGUUAAAGGGUGCGUAGGCGGUUCCGCAAGUCCUGUGUGAAUCUUCGGGACUCGAACUCGAAGUCUGCACGGGAAACUGCGGGGCUUGAGUGUGGGAGAGGUGAGUGGAAUUCCCGGUGUAGCGGUGAAAUGCGUAGAUAUCGGGAAGGAACACCUGUGGCGAAAGCGGCUCACUGGACCAUACGUGACGGCUGAUGCACGAAAGCUGGGGGAGCAAACAGG